rnacentral:piRNA from 1 species
UCGGCCUGAAGCGAUCUCCUAAGAUGUUC